rnacentral:rRNA from 1 species
CUUCCAUCUGGAAGAAUCUGGAGACAGGUGCUGCAAUGGCUGUCGUCAGCUCGUGUCGUGAGAUGGUUGGGUUAACGUCCCGCAACGAGCGCCAACCCUUGCCUUUAGUUGCCAGCAGUUCGGCUGGGCACUCUAAAGGGACUGCCGGUGUUAAACCGGAGGAAGGUGGGGAUGACGUCAAGUCCUCAUGGCCUUUAUGACCAGGGCUACACACGUACUACAAUGGCCGAUACAAAGGGCAGCGACACUGCGAGGUGAAGCCAAUCCCGUAAAAUCGGUCUCAGUCCGGAUUGGAGUCUGCAACUCGACUCCAUGAAGUUGGAAUCGCUAGUAAUCGUGGAUCAGCAUGCCACGGUGAAUACGUUCCCGGGCCUU